UGAAUUCAUUAAACACCGGCG
rnacentral:piRNA from 1 species